rnacentral:tRNA from 1 species
GCCGAGGUGGUGGAAUCUGGUAGACACGCUAUCUUGAGGGGGUAGUGACCAACGGUCGUGCGGGUUCAAGUCCCGCCCUCGGCACCA